GUCUAUGGCUAUGCCACCCUGAACAAGCCCGAUCCCAUCUGAUCUCAGAAGCAAAGCAGGGUUGGGCCUAGUUAGUACUUGGAUGGGAGACCACCUAGGAAGACUGGUGCUGUAGAGG
rnacentral:rRNA from 1 species